AUGAUAGGUGUUUUUUGGAAUAUUAGAGGACUCAACAGUCCUACUAAGACAGACAAACUAAAAGAGCUCAUUAGAGCCAACAACCCUGAUUUUAUUUGUAUUUCUGAAACUAAGAAGGAGGAAUUUUCUAUCCUCCAAAUUGAGAAGUUUGACCCUGGGUCCAAUUUCCACUGGAAAUGGCUGCCUGCUAUAACUGCGGGAGGGGUCUUACUAGGGUGCAAUAUAGAUACAUUGGACAUUAUCCAAUGUGAUCUACAUAAAUUUUGCAUCUCCUGCCUGGUUAGAAACAAACAAGAUAACUUUGUUUGGAAGCUCAUUACUGUGUAUGGCUCUACUUAUGACCAGUUUAAGCUGGAAUUUAUUAAUGAACUCCACUACAUUCUAGCUAGUUGGGCUGGUCCCACUCUAGUUGGUGGAGACUUCAAUUUAAUUAGAGAGGCUAGUGAGAAAAGCUCUGGUGCUAUUAAUCAACAUCGGGCUGACCUCUUUAAUGAUUGGAUUAACAAAUUUGGUUUGAUUGAGUUAAAAAUUAAUGGUAGGAAGUUUACUUGGGGCAACAAUCAGGACAAUCUGGUAAUGGCUACUAUUGACAGAGUUUUCAUGUCCACUGAUUGGGCCUCUGAAUUCCCUGGGGUUCAUCUCAAAGCUUUGCCUAGAUUGGGGGGUGACCACACCCCUCUGGUCCUCAAUACCUGUGCCUUCCACAUCCCCAAGAAUAAACAAUUUAGAUUUGAAAAAUGGUGUCUGGAAGUGGAAGGCUUUAGGGAGGUUGUCACUAAAGCCUGGACUGCCAAAUGCCCUUUCACUAAGACUAUAGACAUUUGGCAGUUCAAAAUUAGAAACUCCAGGAAAGCCAUUAAAGGGUGGAUGGCCAACUAUGAGGCUAACCAAAACAGGCAUAAGCAAGCUUUGGUGGCAGAGUAUAACUGCCUAGAUAUUCUUUCUGAAACUAACCCUCCUUCCGCCAACACUAAUAGCAGAAUUAAAAAAAUUGCAGGGGAUUUGGAGGAUAUCUGGAGAAAAUAA
rnacentral:rRNA from 1 species